AGUGAACGCUGGCGGUAGGCCUAACACAUGCAAGUCGAACGGCAGCGCAGUAAAUGCUUGCUCUUACGGGUGGCGAGUCGCGGACGGGAGAGGAGUACAUCGGAACCUACUUUUUCGUGGGGCAUAACGUAGGGAAACUUACGCUCAUACCGCAUAUGACCUACGCGUGAAAGCAGGGGAUCUUCGGACCUUUCGCGGUUGAAUUAGCCGAUGUGGGAUGAGCUAGUUGGCGGGGUAAAGGCCCACCAAGGCGACGAUCGGUAGCUGGUCUGAGAGGCUGGUACCACACACUGGAACUGAGACACGGUCAAGGCUCCUGCGGGAGGCAGCAGUAGCGUAUAGUGGACAGUGGGCGCGAGCCUUACCCAGCCAUACCGCGUGGGAGACAAAGACCUUCGGGUUGUAAAGACCUUUUGCUGGUAAAGAAAAGCAGCAGGUUGUGACCCCGCUGUUCUGACGGUACCCAAAGAAUAAGCACCGGCUAACUACGUG
rnacentral:rRNA from 1 species